GUCCGUCGUCCGUCGUCGUUAACUUUUACAAAAAUCUUCUCCUCUGAAACUACUGGGCCAAAUCAAACCAAACUUGGCCACAAUCAUCAUUGGGGUAUCUAGUUUAAAAAAUGUGUGGCGUGACCCGGUCAACCGACCAAGAUGGCCGCCACGGCUAAAAAUAGAACAUAGGGGUAAAAUGCAGUUUUUGGCUUAUAACUCAAAAACCAAAGCAUUUAGAGCAAAUCUGACAUGGGGG
rnacentral:lncRNA from 1 species